GAGAGCGGCGGACGGGUGAGUAAUGCCUAGGAAUCCUGCCUGGUAGUGGGGGAUAACGUUCGGAAACGGACGCUAAUACCGCAUACGUCCUACGGGAGAAAGCAGGGGACCUUCGGGCCUUGCGCUAUCAGAUGAGCCUAGGUCGGAUUAGCUAGUUGGUGAGGUAAUGGCUCACCAAGGCGACGAUCCGUAACUGGUCUGAGAGGAUGAUCAGUCACACUGGAACUGAGACACGGUCCAGACUCCUACGGGAGGCAGCAGUGGGGAAUAUUGGACAAUGGGCGAAAGCCUGAUCCAGCCAUGCCGCGUGUGUGAAGAAGGUCUUCGGAUUGUAAAGCACUUUAAGUUGGGAGGAAGGGCAGUAA
rnacentral:rRNA from 1 species